GAUGAACGCUAGCUACAGGCUUAACACAUGCAAGUCGAGGGGAAACGACAUCGAAAGCUUGCUUUUGAUGGGCGUCGACCGGCGCACGGGUGAGUAACGCGUAUCCAACCUGCCCACCACUUGGGGAUAACCUUGCGAAAGUAAGACUAAUACCCAAUGAUAUCCCACGAAGACAUCUGAAUGGGAUUAAAGAUUUAUCGGUGAUGGAUGGGGAUGCGUCUGAUUAGCUUGUUGGCGGGGUAACGGCCCACCAAGGCAACGAUCAGUAGGGGUUCUGAGAGGAAGGUCCCCCACAUUGGAACUGAGACACGGUCCAAACUCCUACGGGAGGCAGCAGUGAGGAUUAUUGGUCAAUGGGCGAGAGCCUGAACCAGCCAAGUAGCGUGCAGGAAGACGGCCCUAUGGGUUGUAAACUGCUUUUAUAAGGGAAUAAAGUGGGUCACGUGUGACUUUUUGCAUGUACCUUAUGAAUAAGGACCGGCUAAUUCCGUG
rnacentral:rRNA from 1 species